CUUCAGAUAACCUUACUUAGGUAUUGGCCUCUUAAGCCAAAACAUAGAUGAUUUCUUCUGAAGA
rnacentral:tRNA from 1 species